GAGUAUCUAGCCGCUGAGGUUUGUUUCAGAUCUGAUCUGUUUUGUUUCUAUGGAGUUUUUUGAUCGAUUUGCUUUGUUUCUAUGUCUUGUUUCUGGGAGAACGUGGGAAAGUGAGGGAAAAUGAAUCGUGUUUUUAACGUUUGUGCAAAUUUCGGCUUUUAAUGACAUGUUUGUUUCCCUGUUUCGUUUGGAUCAUUAGCCUUAUUUUUUUUGGUAUUUCUAGAAUGAGUUGUUAUUUUUUUUCUUCCAUUUUCUAGGCUACCAAACAAGGGAUUUGAUUGAUUUUGUGUUUAUUUGUGGAUAUAGGUGUUGGAGUUGGCUGGGAAUG
rnacentral:misc_RNA from 1 species